rnacentral:lncRNA from 1 species
AAGUAGAAGAUGUCCGGGGUGGAGAAGGCAUCGUCCAGCGUCCAGGUCCGGGUUUGAGAAGCAAGUGUCUGGUCCCAGGUGGAGAAGUCAUUGUCAAGCGUCUGGUCCUGGUGUAGGAUGCGUCGUCCCGCUUCGGAUCAUGGAUGACCUCCUGCUCGUCGCCAGAGCCUGGAUGGUAGUCAACAGAUCUUAGUUUUAGCCAAGGUUGUUAAAGCGAUUGCUGGCUCACUGAAAGAGUUCUCUAGUACUGGGUUUUCAAGCUUUGGAGUCAAUAAAAAGGGCACAAUAUGGUGUUCUGUACUCUGAAGUUUCAGUGUUUAGUCUGUUUGAGCUACUGCAACUCAGUGAAUGAGUAUACUAUCCUUCAGUUCUGCCAGAUGUUAUCAGUUAAUAGGUCUCAUUGCCUUUUGUAUUAUUGCAGUAGAUUAGGCAAUUUACUUGUGAUUAGGAUGUGUUUCUUCAGUGCUCGAUUUUGGUGUGAUUCUUCUCUUCUGUGUAAGACUUUCUCAGAUCAAUAAAAGGGAUAAUAAAGUGUCAGACUUUUGUCAUGAAAUGUCCAAUUUUCACCCUCUGAAGUCUGAUUUUCCCAUAACUACAAAAGUGGACAGGGACAACCAUCCAACGGGCAAAUUUGGCCCUUUGGUGGUUUCGAGGGUAGUUUUCCAUUUUCUAGAAAUUUUAAAAGUUUUGACUUAAUCAAAAAAUUCAUAACUAAUUCAUUUCAAAUCCAAAAAAUAUGAAGUUGGUACAAAAAAUUUCUAAAAUUGUAGGCUAUUUGUCUGUGGGGCUCCAUGUGUCUACUGAUGCAAGAACUAGCGAGGAAACAAAUAAUGAUCCGCUCAAAUAGAAACAGGAAACAGUAUCAGGUAAGGAAACAGUAUCAGGUAAAGAAUUAGAACAAACGGAAGAACAUAAGCAGCUUUGCAAUGGUCAUUGUAGCCUCUCAGGAUUAAUCCUCCAUGAAGGCAUGAACCAUGACUCAUCGUCUGAUUCCCCUCGAUAUUUGAGCAGUAUAUGCUUACAGAUUCGCACUGCAGCUGUGCAGUAUGUCAGGAUGCCACUUUGAGCAGCAUGUUUGUUCAUCAAAUUUUCAGUCUCCUUUUGAUUUGCAUGUCUGUCUUCAAACGCAUAUUGAGGCAGGGGAUUCUAAAUCUGACAUUCCGACUAUCUGAGAGCACACUCAAGUUAACUACCAGGUCUCCGCCAGCCCAAAUGUGUAGCCUCUGUUUCUAUGUUCCCUCUGACAGUUUAGCUGAAAAUGGAUAGUUAGGAAAAACAUUAUCUUGACGUACUGAAAGGCAACCAUCUACUUCAUUUACAACGCCCACCCUCUCUGUGACCAUGUUUCCAAUAUGCCUUAACAAUAUCUGGUCCGAAAAAGAAAAGGCAGUGCUAGUGGCAAAAAUUAGGAAGUAUCAUCAUUAACUAUUUACUGUUCAUAGCACAGGUCCCUGAACUAUAUAUAGUACUAAAUAAAUUAUGACUCUUGUGGCCUUGCCUAUACUAUUCUAGAACAAAGGUGUGUUCUCAAAAUACUUAAAUUUACUUCUAUUUGAGUUUGGCCCCAAUUAUUUUGACUGUAUUUGACAUUAAGAGUUAACUGUGUAUUAAGAGUCCUUUUGAUAUUUCAGGGAAUAAGAUAUUUGCUAAUAUUCUGGACUGUUCAUAUGUCUUUACCAUGUUACCCAGGAAAUGGCUCCAUUUACUUAUAGAUGGCACUUUGAGCAGCAUGUUUGUUCUUCAAAAUCCCAAUGUCUCUCAUUUUGAUUGUCAUUUUUGAAAAGACGCAAUGCGUAAUCAUCACCAUGCCAUGAGCCAUGUAUCUGCUAUGCAGGCGCCUGUUUUCAAACGCAUAUUCAGACAGGGAAUUCUUGUGGAUCAGUAUUUGUAUUUAUGGUGGGGGUACCAGCAAGUUCUCCCUCUCUAAGAAAAUCUGAGAGCACACUCAAGUUAGUGGCCAAGACUCAUAAAAGAUGUAGUCUCUGUUUCUAUGUUUAGUCUGUUUUUUUUUGGGCGAAAGUCUAUGUUUACACUCUGACUUAUGAAAAUGGAUAGUUAGGAAAAAUAUCAUAAAACAUCAUUCUUAUGUACUGAAAGGCAAUCAUCAAUUUUUAUUUACAAUGCCCAUCCUCUCUGUGACCAUGUUUCCAGUAUGCCUUAACAAUAUCUGGCCCCAAAAAGAAACAAUAGUGCUGGCGGCAUAAAUUUGGAGGUAUCUUUUUUUUAUCAAAUCAACAAUCUAUAUUCAAGUCCCGGACUACAUAAGAUUAAAUAAAUUAAUGAUUCUUUCCUAUACUGAUCUAGAGUAAAGAUGUGUUCCCAGAUUAUUUAAAUUUACUUUUUUUAGAAUCCGGGCUAAUCAUUUUGACUGAAUUUGACAUUAAGAGUUGACUGUAUAUUGCCAAGUUGACUUGUGAUAUUGGUUAGCAUUCGAGAUUCUUGUACUAUUUACCACAUAGCUAUUUUUGCUAAAAUUUGCCCCUGGUUGCUUGGCAAUUUAUAUUUCUGGUACUUCUGUGAGGUGGGUAUCUUGCUCAGUCGUGUGGACAGCAUGCAAGAAUCAAGUGUUAAUCUUAGUUCUACCUCUAUCUUGUAGAUGCCAUUUUGACAAUACUGCAAUUUGUUUUCCAUUACAUACUACAGUGUGUUCACAUCUCAUCUGCAUUUAGUCAAACAAUAAAUACAUUGUACCAAAAGCCUGUAUAUAUCCUCUUUUUCUUGCGAUUAUGGAUAUGAAGCCCCCUAAUGUCUGCUCAUUUCACAGUUGACAUGAGCAGUAGUUAGGCCUACCAUUGGGAAGGGUAUGGGCAAAGUCACUUUUAUUUACGUCCAAAUCCAAAUAAUUAUUAUCCACUCCUUACCCUCCUCAACCCCACCCAUAUCCAAUGGAUAAUUAACAUUGUACUACAUAUAUAUACAUAUCCAAUUGAUUAAUCAUAUCCGCCCCAUAUCCUAUCCUCCCCAUUUCUAAUGAGUAUAUAAUUUUCUACUCGUACCCUCCCCAUUUGAAGUGGGUGUGAAUUUAGGGAGAGAGUAUGAUACCCAGUGGCAGGCCUAACUGUUGUGGAGGCAUGCGAUGUCCUCCUUCCCUACAAGACCCUUCUUGAGUCUUGACAUUGUUUUUAGUAUCAUUAGUAUUCAGUUUUGACAGUCAAAUCUUUGAGCUAUUAUUACAUCAAAGUUUAAAGAUACAUCCUAAAGCUAGUUCCAAGUUCGUAAGCUAAUGACAGGCGAUUCUUUUAAACAGAAAGGCAUCAUAGUGUCUCUGCAUCCGUUAGUUGUUACUAUUUUGUUUUUUAUGCCAUGUACAACUCGACCUUGAAUUGAACUGAAUAGCCUAGUAGUUCAAAUUGACUUGUUUAGUGGAAGUGCUGAUGACUUCUGUUGAACAGUGUACUUGCACACUAUAGGUGACGCCGUGACGGUGACUUCUAUUUAACAAUGCUUGAUAGAACUACAUUUCCACAUUAAUCGAAGAAGUCCAGUUUUAACCUAUAAAUUCACGUCACGAUCGAUGUCGAAGGUGAAAGUAUCUAGGUUCCUAACUUGUAUUUUGGUAAUUAAUGAUGGUCUUUGUGGACUAACAAUUUCUUCUUUUCUUUGAGAAUAUGAGUACAAGUUAGUCCCGGAGUUGAAGUGAGCGUCAAAGGACGCUAUGGUGAUAACUUGGAUGCUUUGUAUGUUGGAAAGCUUAAGGCAAAGAUAUACGAUAGGGUUUUCUUUUUUACCAGUCAAGAGGUGCUUAGCGGUUGUCAAUUGACCGGAUUAAUAGGCUAGAUAGCCGUACUAUCAAGAGGGGUCAAUUUCAUUUACUUGACAGUUCUAUAGUGCCACUUUGCUCAAACAAUUGUAUUGCAUGCAUAUGGACUAACAUAGUUUGAGAAAGUAAAAGAAAUGAGAAGAAAAACAUGUUCUAAAAGAGUGUUGACUGCAUAAAGGUGGAUGUCCCGGCCCUAUAUGGGCGGACGGUCAGCCUAACUUAUACAGAAAUGUGUUUUCAAGGUUACAGGCUGUUUUUGUGAGGCCGGACCGUCCGCACCCUGUAACAGUACAGUCUGACAUGCAUUAAAUGUUGAAGCAACCGUUGGACUUGAACGGUGGACGGUCCAGCCCCUGUGAGGUGGAUGGUCCGCCAGUCCCCUGUUUUCACGAGUUUUGAACCUAACGGCUAGCUUUUGGAAGAGGGCCUAUAUAUACACCACCCUCGGGCAUGAGUGAGAUUUCUUGGCACUUUGGAAAGCAUUUGUGACAUUCUUAAGCCCUCUUCCACCUCUCACUCACUCACUUUGCUUAGAGAUUGCAUUCUUGUGAGAUUGAGAGCAUCCUAGUGCAUUGCAUCAAGAGUUUGAGCUUUGUGGCACUAGGGAGUCUUCAAGCAAGUGUUAUUGACUUAUUACUCUUGGAGUUUGCCGCCUCCUAGAUGGCUUGGAGAUUGUGGAGCUGUUGAGCCCUUCAAGGAAGAUUGUGAAAGAGCCCUGGCUAUUCUUGUGAGGGGUUUGUGCUCAUCUCGCCAGAGCGGUGAAGAGCCACACUAGUGGAAUCGAGGUUUGGAGAGAUCCUUUGAUUCAAGCCGGCUCAAACAUCAAGCGGUGUCUUGAUAGAGGAGCGGUUGAAGUAUUGAAUCCACCUCAACGUGGAUUAGGGGUGAACGGCAAGUCAUCGAUACCACAGGAAAAAUUGGUCUCUGGUGUUCGGUUCUUUGUUUGCUCAAUUUCAUUAUUGCAAUUUACUUUGAGCAAUUACAUUCUUAGAGAUUGAAUUAUUCCUUGUCACCCUAGGUUGCAAACCCUCACAUAGUUGUAGAGUAGCUAGAAAUAGUUUUCAUCUUGUGUUACUAAUUAAAUUUAUCUAGUGUUGUGACUUUAGUUGAAAUCGCCUAUUCACCCCCCUCUAGUCGGUAUCCUAGAUCCUACAGAAGGAGGUGGGGACAAAGACAGUUUCUUCUUCCGGGCGGGUGUUCAGGUCACCUAUUGCCAUGGGAGCAACGGUGUUUGACUGCCGCGGCGGCGGAUGGGGUGGCAGCGGGGGAGGUGACGGAGGCGGCAGAGGUGGUGGUGUUGGAGCACGAUGUGCAGGAGCCCUGUACUCCCUCACACGAUGCCCCGAGCGGCGGCAAUGAAGAUAGCGAUAGGGUCCCGGUAGGAGGCGACACGGUGGUCCCUUGCAAGACACCUGAAGCAACAUCCCUCGGUGGCCCGGUGGAAUGCCUGGCGGGUGCCGGUGGUUGGCCUCCUUGAAUUGGCCUCUCUGCGGAGCUUUGAAAGCACGUCGCAGUGGCCGUCGCGCCGUGGUGAGGUGGCACGCUUGCACCAAGCCUUGGAGCCGCGGCACCGCGCUGGAGUCCACCCAUCAUCCUGCAUGAGCUUGCCAUCACGUCGCGGUGGGCUGGCACCUCUGCUCUGUGUUGAAUGGCCACGGCGUGUGUUGAAUGGCCACGGCGCCGUGCAGGGGGUCCCCUAUCGACCAGCGUGGGCGUGGUACGGCGGAUCCACUCCCUGGGACGCCUCGUCCUCAUCGGAUCGACGAAGUAAAUGUGCUCCCUUAUGGGGGGGUCGGCGGGGAGUGAAUGCGGUGGGGUGAGGCCGCUGCGUAGGUUGGUGGGGAGGAGUGAAGGCACCGUACCGGACGACUUCCGCAUAGGAAGGAACUGUAUCAGGCGUUGCAGGGGUGCAGGGGUCGGAUCCGGUGUUGUAGGGACCUGGUCAAUGUCGUCGUGUCAUGGCCGGCCAUGGCGUGGGGACAGCGAAGGCGUGUCGAGGAAGAAGUUUUCCUAGGCGCUUGCGCUCUUCCUUGGGGUGGAGGAAGUCGUCAGGGAGGGGAUCUAGGCAGUGUGGAUCUGAGCGGGUGGGUGGCAGCAGAGGAGGUGAGGGUAGGUGGCUGGAUAUGGAUCCACCGGUGGACGGCCGCGCGGCAGAGGGUAGGCUCGGGAGGUCUAUCUUUUUGAUAAUAGGUUAAUCGAUCACCAGAAGAUCUUCCCAAAACUUCCCAAGAAGAUAUUUUUUAUUUGAUUUGGCAUUAUUCAACAAGAAAAAAAAAGAAAAAUUUCGACAAAUUCCUUUUUUUGAUAAUUAUGCGGCGGACGGAUACUAAGAUGGAAUAGGCCCACUAAUAUGCCCAAUGUACCCGCAGCAAUAUGAUGCGAAGCUAUUCCUCCCGGAAUGAGAGGAUCAAAACCUUCUGCACCCCACGCAGGAGAUUGUAAAUUUUGAAACUUUUGUAUUUCUUUUUCUUCCGUACAAGAUAGUUGCCCUAGCAAAAGUGUUAGGCACCCUUCAAAUAGGAAUCCAUUUUCAAAAGUGUUAGGCACCCUUCAAAUAGGAAUCCAUUUUCUAACCGGCUUUUGUGCUUUGGUGAGUCGUCCGAGAUCCUUUUGGUGACAUAGUACGAAUUAACCCUUUGUUCUUUUUUUAUUUUUAAGUAUACCCUUCCCGGGAAAGAAGAAUAGGACAAAAGAUAUGGAAUGCAAUAGAAAAUAGGAUAAAAGAUAUGGAAUGCAAUAGAAAAAAGGAUCCUAGCUUUCGUCUGUCAGUGUUAGUGUCAGCCCAGCAGAGUGAUUUCGCCGUUGGUGUUCUUUCCGAUCUCAAUGGACUACUUAACUGGAGGAUUCACCGCAAAUAUUAGCUUGUCUCAUUAUUGCCGCGACAAAGGCCUACUUCUUCACAUUCACCGAGCAAUGCAUGCAGUUAUUGAUAGACAGAAAAAUAAUGGUAUGCAUUUCCGUGUAUUAGCUAAAGUAGGAAGAACAAGUUGUUCCAGCUAGAUACCGUCAAGAAUUCCUGUGGGGGGCAUCUUACUUGACCUGAUCCAUGUCGUGUUACGCAGCUCCUAAAAAAAUUCCCAUGACUCUACCGACGUCAGGUCCCGCUUCCGUUUUCCCCAUCUAUUGAUGGGUUGUUAACGAGUGUUUCCCCCAAAAUGGUUUCACCGGUAAUAAAACGUAAAAAAAACCAGGUUCACCUCACUUUCAGUUUAUUUUUCACUCUGUUUGCAAAACAUGCAAACAGAGAAGUUUCCUUGGUUUAUGAAAAGAAGGUAAAGCGGAACUGUGGAAGUUGGUAAAAACCCUCUCAAAUAGGCUUUUUGGUUCACCUAUCAUAAUCGCAUUUGUUUAUCCUAGUUAUGACUUUGAUAUCUUUCGAGAUUUUAUAGCAUGUUAAUUCAUACUUAUUGCAGAUGGCCUUUCUACGUAAAGGAGAUAUGCAAUAGCUCCUAUGUGAGAUUGUGGUAAUAUUGAUCGAAAUUAAAUAAAUUUCCUUGGAAUUAGUCCAAUAAAGUAUUAUAAAUAUCAGGGUUUAUUUAAAAAAAGAACAUAGGAUACCAAGAACCAAUGUUUGAAAAUUUGGUCAGAAAAUUAACCUAAAAUUGAGAAUGUCAUAUUCUCAGUAUCAUUACAUUUGAAAAAUUUAAGGUCAGCUUGUCACACGUCACGCCAACGAAGAGGGAUUUUUUAUAUUUUUAUAUUUUUUUUCAAUUUUGCAGAAAUAUAUAGUCGGAUGAAAAAAUUGCAAAUCUAGGCUAUUACCGCUUCUGGGCCAGCGAUAAGGCCAUACCGCCGCCUCAGCCGGCGGUAAGGCCCUCCCGCCCAACGGUCAGCAGGCGCCGUAACUGCUGCGCGCGAGUUGAGGCACCCUCGCCGGCUCAGGUGGCGGUAAGGCCCUUACCGCCGCCUUAGCCGGCGCUAACGCCCUUCCGCCGCUUGGGCCGGCGGUAGUCACCCCUACAAAAGUCGCCCGCACCCCUCCCCUCCCCCUGCACCAGUGCGAGCGCCAGGUACCGAGCCAGAGAAGGAGGAGGGAAGAGAAAGAGGAAAGGAGGGAAGGAAAAAAAAAGAAAGAGAGGAGAGGAGGAGGAGGGAAGAAAAAAAGGAAAGAAAGGAGGAGGAGGAGGAGGGGGAAGAGGGAAGGAAUUUCUUCCGUCUUUCUCAGGUAAUUUUUUUUUUAAUCUCGUAGUUUAGUUUAGUAUAGUAUACUAUAGUAUAGUUUAGUUUAGUUUAGUUUAGAUCUAGAUUUAGAAAUAUUAGUGGAUCUGAGAUUUAGAAAUAUUAGUAGAUCUAGAUUUAGAAAUAAUAGUGGAUCUAGAUCUAGACUUAGAAACUUUUAGUUGUAUUCAGAUAUAGGAAAAUGUAGCUUAGUUAGUAUAACUGAUUUAGCUUAUACAGUAAAAUAGAGUCGGCAUUAUUAGAUUUAUUUGUUAUGGUAAAUGGCUAUGAUAAAUAUAGUUAAUAAAUUAUGAUAUUUUGGUUAGGUAUUACAUUAUAGUUUUUAGGUAAUAAUAUUAUAUUUGUUUGUUCUGGUAAAUGACUGUGAUAAAUCUAGUUAGUAAAUUAUGAUUUUUUGGUUAGGUAUUCAAAUAUAGUUUUUCGGUAACAAUAAUAGAUUUGUUUGUUCUGGUAAAUCACUGUGAUAAAUGUAGUUAGUAAAUUAUGAUUUUUUGUUAGGUAUUACAAUAUAGUUUUUUGGUAACAUUAUUAGAUUUAUUUGUUGUGGUGCAUGGCUAUGAUAAAUUUAGUAAGUAAGCUUGGUUUAGUGUUACAUAGUUUUUUGUUUAUUCAAUUGAGGUCGUUAUUGUAGUUAACUUAUGUAUAGUGUUGAGAAUAAUUUGGACUGCCCGUUUCAUGUAUGUUGCCAGGCAUGUCGGAUAGUGUCAAUAUUUAAGUGUACUAUGGGUCGGGGGAGGUUAGAUAUGGUCCAAAGGGGUAGAUUUGAAUGGAUUCCCCUGUUUCACCAAGUGUAUUCCAAGAGCAAGAGAGAACUUGGGGGGCAUAUGCAAGUGGCUCUGUAGGGACUUAGGUGUUGACAGAGAUCAAGCGAAUGUGUCUAUGAGGGUUGUAGUGAAAAGACGGCUGGAUAUAAACUUUUGGGAGUUGGUUCCACUUGAAGGAACUCCGAGCUAUCGGGCUUACAUAGAUGGUUUCACGAGAAGAGGUUUACCAAUCAUAUGGUAUGUCCAAUUUUUCAUGAAGGGUGGACCUAGCAUUCAUAUUGAAGAACAAGUCGGAGGUGAUAAAGUUGAAGCGGAAGAAGAUGUGCAGAGUAAUACUGAUGGAAACGAAGAACUUGAUUAUGAAUAAUAAGAAGGUGGAGAUGCAGAACAUGAUUUAGCAUCUCGGGAACCAAAUGAAGAGGCUGAUGAGGGGGAAGAAAUUCCUGAGUUAGUAGAGCAGAUGGAGAUGGAAGGAGGGGAGGCCAAUGGUGCCGUGGAGGAGGACUCGUCGGAUGAGGAAGACGAUUAUUCUGUACCGCAAAAUUGGUCAAAUUACGACCAUUCCGCCCUACAGGUCAAUGUUGGGGAAACUAUUCCUUGGGAGUACAGGGAGAAUGAGGUAUGCGUGGGGGCUGUGUACCAAAGUAGGGAUGAAGUGAAGGUGGCUAUUAAGAGAUUGUCCACUUUGUGUUUGCAGCGUCAGUUUAGAGUGGAAAAGAGUAGCCCGAAGGUGUAUGAUGUCCGGUGUGUGCGAAAUGAUUGCCCAUUUAGGGUGCAUGCAUACAAGGGCAAAUGGAAGGAUUACUGGGAGGUGACUAAAGUGGUUGAGCACCAAUGCUUGCUGGCUGAAUUGGAAGGAACACACCGCAACCUCAUUGCUGAAUUUGUUGCUCAAUACAUGUACCCUCAGAUAGUGGAGAAUCCAAGCUUCGAGCCCAAGUCCAUUAUCUGUGCCAUAGAGGAGAAGUUCAAGUACAAGAUCAGCUAUAAUAAAGCUUACCAUGCUAAGCAGAAGGCGCUUGAGAUGAAGUGGGGUACAUUCAAAACAUCCUACGACAACUUCCGUGCCUUGUUGCACACCAUUUGCUAGAGAAAUCCUGGAAGCUUCUACGACUUGAAAGCAUAUCCAGUUCUUCAGUUUCCAAGCAAACAGGUCCUACAACGGUCAUUUUUUGCGUUAGGUCCUUGCAUUCAGGCUUUCCGGCUUUGUCGACCAGUCAUUUGCAUUGAUGACACAUUUCUGACUGGAAGGUGCAAAGGGACAAUAUUGAUAGCUAUUGGGACCCAUGGCAACAAUCAGGUGUUGCCGCUUGCGAUCGCUUUUGUGGAGAAGGAGUCUGGAUAUAGCCGUUACUGGUUCCUCGAGAGGGUGAAGAACAUGAUUGUGUUGAACGUCGAGGGGGUCUAUCUCAUUCAUGAUCGGCACAAAGGCAUUAUACAAGCAAUCGACGACCUACAAAAUGGAAGUCAAGAGUGUUUCAGGGCGCCGAUAUGGCCGGACUUGAAGAGUAGGUGGUGCAUGAGGCAUAUGGGUGCGAACUUUCACAGCAAAUUCAAGAACAAGACCUUUACGAAAUUGUUCAAGUGCCUGUGCAGCCAGAAUUAGGAGAGGGAGUUCAAUCUACUGUGGAAGAAACUUGAGGACCUCACAAAGAAGCAAUGCAAGGAACUAUCAAAGAGGGUGGUCAAUAAUGAGGCCGACCAACCUGUGUCUCUAGAGGAUGUUGGGCUCGACGGUCCAAACGUUAGGCGAAGAUGGGGAAGAUCCAUCAAGACCUUCUCACAGUGGAUUGAGAAUGAACUGAAGGAAAAGUGGGCAUUACUCUUUGAUGAAGGAGGUGCACGGUGGGGUAUAAUGACGACAAACCUAGCUAAAGUUUACAACUGGGUCCUGCGCAGUGUUCGGGGCCUGCCCCUUGUUGGUAUUGUGGAAUUUUACCCUUACCGCACCAUGAAGUAUUUCAGGGAAGGUACCAAUUGGCUAAUAACUCAAUGCGUGACAACCACAUAAUAUUUGGGUACAAGAUGACAGAGUACAUGGAGGAAGCAAUUAAGAAAGCUCAUUGCAUUGUGUGAAAAAAGUGCGAGCCGUGGAACGCCGGUUGGAAGUUGUUUGUAGGGACAAAGUUCGAAUGGGCGGGAGGCGCGAGAGACACACACAUGAAUGCAUCCUCAGGAAUGAAGGGUGUGUUUGCUCUUGCCACAAGCCAAGGUUGCUUCACAGGCCUUGCACCCAUGUCAUUGCUGCAUGCUUCGAGGCAGGGGGCCUCCAACCCCGUCAUUUCGUGCCUGACUAUUUCUUCAAAGAAACCAUAUGGCAAACUUGGAGGAACGAGAUUUAUGGAUAUCGUUUGCUGGGAGACUUUGUCAAUAAUCCUGGGAAUGCCGCCCGCUACAUUCCUGAUCCUGAUCCAAAAAUGUGCUAAGGAGUGGGGUGACGCGGGAAUAGGCAUAUCCGUAAUGACAUGGAUCAAUCUGAAGCAGGUCCUGAUGUCCGUCUAUGCUCCAAGUGCCAUGAAGCCGGUCACACCUACAAGAAUUGCCCGGCAACGACGUAUGGAAGUGCGAGCACCCAUGCUGCAUCUAAUAACUAGUAAUGUAAUGUACUGUCUAUCUUGAGUUGUGUUAUUUUAACUUGAGCUGUCAUCCUUAGGUAAUGUAAUGUAAUGUUUAUUUGUCGUUGUGGACAAGGACAUAACGUAUUGUAAUAUUUAUCUUGGACCCUUCUAUUUGUAAUGACUCGUAUGUGCCGUAAAGUUAUGCUGUUUAUUUGCAAUGUAACGUAAUGUAAUGUUAUAUUUCUUUUACGUGUUCAGUUCCUUACAUCUUUCAAUACUUGUGUUGCAGGUAUGGUGGCACACCCAGGUCCACAGGGUACCAGACCCCUGAGUUGCUCGACCCUACCUUGGACGGACAACACAGGUCGUUCCAAUCAGCCGUAGUUGGUACGGUUCUAGGCACAUUUCGGGCUCGUAUCCCGCUUGCGACCAUGCCGAUCGACUGACGUUGGAUCUCGAGGUUCGUCCGCCAGCAGCCGGGACAUCCUACGCCAUACCACCACCACCACCACCACCACCAUCCUGGCACGCCACAACAGGUCCGUCCACCGUUCCACAGAUGCAAUCCGCAUGGUCCUCUUGUCCAUCUUCAGCUGCACCGGACAUACGACCAGUUGGUGUGUGAUGCAUGCAUUUUUAUAAUCCAUUUUAAGUACGCAAUGAAACUAACAAAACCAUUUUCUUUGUGAUUAUAACAGGCUACGCAGACCAGGGAUGGGUUUCGGAGGACUCACACAAUGAGGCAGCGAGGUCCAGUGGCCAGGCUUGGUUCGAUGAUCUUUUCAGAGUGGACCCCGACCUACUCGGUCCCUCCCAGCUAGCAGAUGCCCCGUAGGGUCCUACACAGGAUGCGACCCAAUACCUCGGGACACCACAGGGUCCUACACAGGGCGCGACCCAGUACCUCGUGACACCACCUGCGGAGGGAGCGGGAGGACAUCUGACUCGCGACGUUCACCCGCCGGAGCCCUGGACGUACGACCGGCAGCAGACCAGAGCAGCGCAGCGGGCAGCAAGGCAUGGUCGUGGUGCCGGUGAGCCUCAUUUCAAGUGAGGACGCAUUUAGUGCGUAGGACGACUUGUUAUUUUUUAUCAUUUGUAGGAUUAUGAUGUGUACGAUUAUCUUUAUGUGCGAGGACUGCUCUAUCUAGAUAAGAAGUUAAAUGCUUUUCAUUGUUCAUGUGCGUUCACUAUACUAGUCUAAACAUUUUCCAAUUAAGAAUUAAAAGCACACAAUUAAAAUAAUCGAUCACUACGAAUAAAAAUUAUGUAGCAAAUAACAGAGUACAUGACCUAAGCACAACAUAAUGAAAGGUCCAACAGUACACAACAUUAUCCAUGAAUAAACCAUGAACACACAACGAAAGGUCCAACCGCACACAACGGAGUACUAGCCAAUAACAGAGCCUACUGAGUACAACGAGGCAACUUUCCCUUCCUCAGGGUAUCGGGGUUCUCCUCGAUCGCUGCUUUCACUCGGCGUGCAUGCUCAAGCUUCCUCUCCCUCUCCUCCCUCUCCACAGCAAGACGUCUCCUUUCCUCCUCUUCCUUGUGCUCCUUCUCUGCAACCUCCUCUCUGAGUCUCUUCUCCAUCCUCUCCUUGUUCUCUGCUGCCCAAUGCAACAUGUACUGCAUCUCCUUCUUAUCCUCAGGCUUGAUCUCAGUGUCAAUCCACUGCUCAAAAUCACAGAGCGGUGGAGGGGUCUUGCAACAAAUGUAAUUAUUACAAAACAAAAAAAUCAUGCAAGAUGUCAUAUGACACAAAAUAAUUAUUGCACAACAUCAAUUCCUCACCAUCUUGUUAAUGCGGCGCUGAUGAAGUGUAGGCUCAAACGCAAAAUUGGAACACAUCCAAUACCUCUGCCUAUAUGUGUCCUCUUCAUCGGACUUGGCUACCUUGCAAGGAUCGCCGCAAAAGCACAUAGGCACUGGAACACCACUAGGUAGAGGUAAAGGGUCGAAGGCAUUUCCGGUCAACGAAACACCACUCCACCUUUACCAUUUUCAUUGUAAGAACUGAAAGCAACUAAGAUUAAAUCAUACGACUACCAGUUAAUGUAAUAACGUGCACUGAGAUUACCUUGGUUUUCCAUCUUUUCCAAGCCAUGGCAUCCUACGGUUGUAUAAUAAAAAUAUUAAAAUUUUAUGAAACUACACUACUAAAUACUUCUAGAUCUAAAUACUAAACUAUGAACUAAAAACUGAAUCUACUAUACUGACUAAGCUACAUUUUAACAUCUAAAAGCACACAACAUAUCUGCAGAUCUAAAUACUAAACUAUAAACUAAAUACUAAAUCUACUGUACAAACUAAGCUAGAUUUUUAGCAUCUAUAAACACAAAAUAUUUCUAGAUUUACUAUACUAUGACAUUGAAAAACUUACCUGAUGAUUAGGAGGCUUCUUCCCCUUCUUUCCUCUCUUUCUUCCUUCCUUCCCUUCCUUCUCUCCCUCUCUGGUUCUCCUCUAAAAAACAACAGGUCUGGCUGAAGAGUUGGGAGGCGGAAGUUGGUAAAAAUCCGGCUUGAGGCCUGACUACGGAAGUUGGUAAAAACCCUCUCAAAUAGGCUUUUUGGUUCACAUAUCAUAAUCGCAUUUCUUUAUCCUAGUUAUGAUUUUGAUAUCUUUCGAGAUUUUAUAGCAUGUUAAUUUAUACUUAUUGCAGAUGGCCUUUCUACGUAAAGGAGAUAUGCAAUAGCCCCUAUGUGAGAUUUUGGUAAUCUUUAUCGAAAUUAAAUCAAUUUCCUUGUAAUUAGUCCAAUAAAGUAUUAUAAAUAUCAGGAUUUAUUUAAAAAAGAACAUAGGAUACCAUGAACCAAUGCUUGAAACUUUGGUCAUAAAACUAACCUAAAAUUUGAGAAUGUCAUAAAACUUUGGUCAUAAAACUAACCUAAAAUUUGAGAAUGUCAUAUUCCUUUUUUUUCUGAAACUGAGAAUGUCAAUUCUUAGCGUCAUUACAUUUGAAAAAUCUAAGGUCGGCUUGUCACACGUCAGGCCAACGAAGAGGUUGUUUUCUCCAGCAGCAAUUGGCCCAAGUAACUGCGUACAGGCCCACCAAAUCAACUACAGUUGGGCCGAACCGGUAGCAAAAAUCGAAACGGACAAGUUUCCAAAGAAAAAGGAAACCGUGUGCGUACAACUAACGCGUACGCGUAUGCGUAUGCGUAUGGGUACAGGCCAUAUACAGCUUUCGAUCCCCCGCGUACGGAAUACGCUCUCGCUCCCCUGUCUUUCUCGCCAGAUCAGAUCGGAAAUUCCAAAGCAAGCUUUUCGUCAGCGAUUCGCCGAAACCCAUCCAACGCCGCCGCCAUGUCCGCCGCCGUCGCCACCCCCGUCCUGCGCGAGGACGACCGGGGGAUCCCACGAUCCCUCCCCCUCCUCGCGGCGCUCGUAGAGGCGGAGUCCCGCCGUUUCGCCGCCGCCGCCUCCCGUCCCGCCGAGACCGGCCUCGUCCGCGCCUUCCGCGGCGGCGCCGCCCCGAAGGUCCCGAUCCGCAUCUUCAUGGAGCGGAUCCACCUGCUGACCCGGUCGGUGCCGACCUCCCGGGGCAUGACCAGGAUCGACGGCACCAGCUUCGUGCUCGCCGGGAUCUACUUGACUCGCUUCAUCCGCAGCCCCGCCGGCAGGGAGGCGGGGAUCCUGGUGGAGCCAGCCACCGCGCACCGCCUGGUUGCCGUCGCGCUCUUCCUUGGCGCCAAGUUCGGCGGCCACCCGCCCAGGAAGUGGAUUGGGGUGUUCCAGGCCAGCUCGGAAGGCGCGAUCCGUGCCGGCGAGAUGGUGGGCCUCGAGGGCCGCUUCCUGCGUGCAAUCGACUUUCGCCUGUUCUUAGAGACCUGGGAGUUCGAUUCCUUCUGCCUUGUGCUGGAGCGGGGGCCUCGGGCACCAAGGGGCGGCAGCGGUAGCGUUGGCUGCGCCAGCAAGAAGAGGCAGGCGGACGCCACGGUCGGAGAGGAUGAGCGCCGCCGCGUCCGAGCUCGCCUGCCGCCACCUGCCGUCUUGUCCAAUUAGGAUUUGUUUUCAAUUUGAAGUUUCGCCUUCAAUUCGCUUAUUAUUUCUUUUAGUUGCUUUUGAUUGUUCGUCUAUCUAUUUUUGCUGCAGGUACAAGGCUAGGAGUAGAAGUGUUCGAGGUGGAGAAGGCGUUGUCCAGUGUCCGAUCAGGGAUCAGCUUCUCCUUGCUGGAGCCUGGAGGAGAGCCUGGUGUAGGAUGCGUCGUCCCGCUUCGGAUCAUGGAUGACCUCCUGCUCGUCGCCAGAGCCUGGAUGGUAGUCAACAGAUCUUAGUUUUAGCCAAGGUUGUUAAAGCGAUUGCUGGCUCACUGAAAGAGUUCUCUAGUACUGGGUUUUCAAGCUUUGGAGUCAAUAAAAAGGGCACAAUAUGGUGUUCUGUACUCUGAAGUUUCAGUGUUUAGUCUGUUUGAGCUACUGCAACUCAGUGAAUGAGUAUACUAUCCUUCAGUUCUGCCAGAUGUUAUCAGUUAAUAGGUCUCAUUGCCUUUUGUAUUAUUGCAGUAGAUUAGGCAAUUUACUUGUGAUUAGGAUGUGUUUCUUCAGUGCUCGAUUUUGGUGUGAUUCUUCUCUUCUGUGUAAGACUUUCUCAGAUCAAUAAAAGGGAUAAUAAAGUGUCAGACUUUUGUCAUGAAAUGUCCAAUUUUCACCCUCUGAAGUCUGAUUUUCAACCCAUAACUACAAAAGUGGACAGGGACAACCAUCCAACGGGCAAAUUUGGCCCUUUGGUGGUUUCGAGGGUGGUUUUCCAUUUUCAAGAAAUUUUAAAAGUUUUGACUUAAUCAAAAAAUUCAUAACUAAUUCAUUUCAAAUCCAAAAAAUAUGAAGUUGGUAAAAAAAAUUUCUAAAAUUGUAGGCUAUUUGUCUGUGGGGGGGGAUGUGUCUACUAAUGCAAGAACUAGCGAGGAAACAAAUAAUGAUCCGCUCAAAUAGAAACAGGAAACAGUAUCAGGUAAAGAAUUAGAACAAACGGAAGAACAUAAGCAGCUUUGCAAUGGUCAUUGUAGCCUCUCAGAAUUAAUCCUCCAUGAAGGCAUGAACCAUGACUCAUCGUCUGAUUCCCCUCGAUAUGUGAGCAGUAUAUGCUUACAGAUUCGCACUGCAGCUGUGCAGCAUGUCAGGAUGCCACUUUGAGCAGCAUGUUUGUUCAUCAAAUUUUCAGUCUCCUUUUGAUUUGCAUGUCUGUCUUCAAACGCAUAUUGAGGCAGGGGAUUCUAAAUCUGACAUUCCGACUAUCUGAGAGCACACUCAAGUUAACUACCAGGUCUCCGCCAGCCCAAAUGUGUAGCCUCUGUUUCUAUGUUCCCUCUGACAGUUUAGCUGAAAAUGGAUAGUUAGGAAAAACAUUAUCUUGACGUACUGAAAGGCAACCAUCUACUUCAUUUACAACGCCCACCCUCUCUGUGACCAUGUUUCCAAUAUGCCUUAACAAUAUCUGGUCCGAAAAAGAAAAGGCAGUGCUAGUGGCAAAAAUUAGGAAGUAUCAUCAUUAACUAUUUACUGUUCAUAGCACAGGUCCCUGAACUAUAUAUAGUACUAAAUAAAUUAUGACUCUUGUGGCCUUGCCUAUACUAUUCUAGAACAAAGGUGUGUUCUCAAAAUACUUAAAUUUACUUCUAUUUAAGUUUGGCCCCAAUUAUUUUGACUGUAUUUGACAUUAAGAGUUAACUGUGUAUUAAGAGUCCUUUUGAUAUUUCAGGGAAUAAGAUAUUUGCUAAUAUUCUGGACUGUUCAUAUGUCUUUACCAUGUUACCCAGGAAAUGGCUCCAUUUACUUAUAGAUGGCACUUUGAGCAGCAUGUUUGUUCUUCAAAAUCCCAAUGUCUCUCAUUUUGAUUGUCAUUUUUGAAAAGACGCAAUGCGUAAUCAUCACCAUGCCAUGAGCCAUGUAUCUGCUAUGCAGGCGCCUGUUUUCAAACGCAUAUUCAGACAGGGAAUUCUUGUGGAUCAGUAUUUGUAUUUAUGGUGGGGGUACCAGCAAGUUCUCCCUCUCUAAGAAAAUCUGAGAGCACACUCAAGUUAGUGGCCAAGACUCAUAAAAGAUGUAGUCUCUGUUUCUAUGUUUAGUCUGUUUUUUUUUGGGCGAAAGUCUAUGUUUAUACUCUGACUUAUGAAAAUGGAUAGUUAGGAAAAACAUCAUAAAACAUCAUUCUUAUGUACUGAAAGGCAAUCAUCAAUUUUUAUUUACAAUGCCCAUCCUCUCUGUGACCAUGUUUCCAGUAUGCCUUAACAAUAUCUGGCCAAAAAGAAACAAUGGUGCUGGCGGCAUAAAUUUGGAGGUAUCUUUUUUCUAUCAAAUCAACAAUCUACUAUUCAAAUCCCGGACUACAUAAGAUUAAAUAAAUUAAUGAUUCUUUCCUAUACUGAUCUAGAGUAAAGAUGUGUUCCCAGAUUAUUUAAAUUUACUUUUUUUAGAAUCCGGGCUAAUCAUUUUGACUGAAUUUGACAUUAAGAGUUGACUGUAUAUUGCCAAGUUGACUUGUGAUAUUGGUUAGCAUUCGAGAUUCUUGUACUAUUUACCACAUAGCUAUUUUUGCUAAAAUUUGCCCCUGGUUGCUUGGCAAUUUAGAUUUCUGGUACUUCUGUGAGGUGGGUAUCAUGCUCAGUCGUGUGGACAGCAUGCAAGAAUCAAGUGUUAAUCUUACUUCUACCUCUAUCUUGUAGAUGCCAUUUUGACAAUACUGCAAUUUGUUUUCCAUUACAUACUACAGUGUGUUCACAUCUCAUCUGCAUUUAGUCAAACAAUAAAUACAUUGUACCAAAAGCCUGUAUAUAUCCUAUUUUUCUUGCGAUUAUGGAUAUGAAGCCCUCCUAAUAUCUGCUCAUUUCACAGUUGACAUGAGCAGUAGUUAGGCCUACCAUUGGGAAGGGUAUGGGCAAACCCACUCUUAUUUACGUCCAAAUCCAAAUAAUUAUUAUCCACUCCUUACCCUCCUCAAUCCCACCCAUAUCCAAUGGAUAAUUAAUAUUGUACUACAUAUAUAUAUGCAUAUCCAAUUGAUUAAUCAUAUCCGCCUCAUAUCCUACCCUCCUCAUUUCUAAUGAGUAUAUAAUUUUCUACUCGUACCCUCCCCAUUUGAAUUGGGUGUGAAUUAAGGGAGAGAGUAUGAUACCCAGUGGCAGGCCUAACUGUUGUGGAGGCAUGCGAUGUCCUCCUUCCCUACAAGAUCCUUCUUGAGUCUUGACAUUGUUUUUAGUAUCAUUAGUAGUCAGUUUUGACAGUCAAAUCUUUGAGCUAUUAUUACAUCAAAGUUCAAAGAUACAUCCUAAAGCUAGUUCCAAGUUCGUAAGCUAAUGACAGGCGAUUCUUUUAAACAGAAAGGCAUCAUAGUUUCUCUGCAUCCGUUAGUUGUUACUAUUUUGUUUUUUAUGCCAUGCACAAGUCGACCUUGAAUUGAACUGAAUAGCCUAGUAGUUCAAAUCGACUUGUUUAGUGGAGGUGCUGAUGACUUGUGUUGAACAGUGUACUUGCACACUAUAGGUGACGCCGUGACGGUGACUUCUAUUUAACAAUGCUUGAUAGAACUUCAUUUCCACAUUAAUCGAAGAAGUCCAGUUUUAACCUAUAAAUUCACGUCGCGAAUGUCGAAGGUGAAAGCAUCUAAGCUCCUAACUUGUGUUUUGGUAAUUAAUGACGGUCUUAGUGGACUAACAAUUUCUUCUUUAUAGGCAACUUAAAGUUGCUUAAAGUUGCUUAUUGUAGUUGCUUAUUUUUUAGCUCUAAGUGUUUGGUUUCCACAUUGUAGUUGCCCAAACAGCUCUAGCUUCCUCUAGAUGACCCGUAGCCAGUCAUCUGCGUCCAGAGGGUUGACAGACCCGCCAAAAGUGGGUGGCUUGGUCCGGAGGAAGUCCGUCAACUUCUCAUUCAUGCUCUGUCCGCGGGGCCUUAGCGAGUGAUGGCAUUGGCCAAGGCUUCCAGCAGAAGGGUCUGGUUGUUCAUCACUUGCACCAGAUCAAUGACCAGUGGGCACGGUGGCUGUUGUACUCCCACUUGGGUUUCUCCCCUACCCUCGGGCUGAUUUACUUCCUGCUCCUCAUGGUGCACUGCUGGUUCUUGCCCUUCCUGCUGUCUUUCUGCACUAGGGGUGGCACGGGCUUGACUCGGGGAGGUCUUGGUAGCACGCUUAGGAGGCAUCUGCAGAUUGAGUGAACUUUCAUGAGACUUGGAUUUGGAUUUUAAAGUGAUGUUUAGUUAAUUAGCUCGGGUUUUCGAAAAGACAGAAUCCACCUCCUGACAACAAGCACACAGACUAACAAACAACAAACACAAAUAAUUUUAUUAUUUUGCCGGGGUGGUUACAACACUUGGGGUGAGGCCAAAACACGCACUACACGGCCGGUACAACAACACAACUGGGGUACAAUUCUAGACUCGGGACGGCUUCUUAGGUACAACUCUAGGUGGGGCAUUCUACUCGCGGGACGAAUCUUCACCCUGAACAGAGUGGUCUUCUGGCGAAAUAAGGAGGGCCAGCACAUCAUCCUUUAGGGUCCCACCUACUGGAGGGGGCUCUGACGCUUCUCCAUUGGCCACCUCAGAGUCUUUUUCCGAAGGAGGUAGGGUGGGGCAUCAGGGCUUUUCCGCUUGCCGGAUCCUUGGGCAACAGGGACUCCAUCCAAGAUUGGGGCCUUGUCGUCCUCCACGACCCGCAUCUUCCUUCUCGCGCGGUUCGUGUGAUGGGCCUCCUUCAGUGCCCGAGAGUGCCGAUCCUCGGCCUCCUUGAGGGCCUCAAUGGCGACGGCCUCAUUGCUUUGGGCGGCCACGGCUCGUGCCUCAGCUGCUGCCAACCUCACCUGGAGUCUCCUUACCAUAACCUCUGCGUCCUCGGCUCUACGAAUUUGCUGCUUCAGAUGUGCGGUCUGCUCAUCGUAGAGCUCAUCCAAGGUGAGAAGGUAGGCAGCCAUGUGGAGCACGGUGGGGUCAUCCUCGCGCUGUCGACGUCCUUCCAAAGUCCUCACCCGGGCCAGCCAAACCGGGCGGUUCUUCUUGACAGGCGGGUAAAACCUCAUCGGUGUGCGGCCGAUGUGCCUCUCAUAGAUCUGGCACAGGUAGCGCAUAGCCUUCUGAGCUGCCACCUGGUAAGUGUCUUUCCGCUGGAAACCAGUGGCAGACACGUUCCAUGGCUGAAUGUUGGGGUAACGACUGCUCCUGCCGACGUAGAUGGUCAUCUCACACCGGAGGGUCCCACGGUCUUCAUACUCCCGGCUAGUGUACUCCGGGCGCUCAUAAAUCCCAAGGCGGUCCAUGCAGGCGAACAACAACCUAGGAAAACCGAGCUCCACCAGGCAAUGGUUGUUGACCCACCCUUCUUCGGCCAUCUGGAAAGAAUCGGGGUGUAAAUCAGUUUUGCAAUUGAGCAGAGGAAGCAAGAAAUUUUGUAAAAUCAUUUAUUUUUGGUCAAAAAGGCUUUUUUGAUCCUAAUGGUCACGUCCUACGGCGAACGACAGCUCUGAUACCACCUGAAGCGUCCCCACAUAAGUAGAGACUAAAUAUGAUACAAAUAUCAGUCCCAUGAGGCUGAUAGCACAUUUAUUCAACAAAUAGUUCAGAAAUCGUACAACUCCCGAGGGAGCGGGCGGGCAAGCCACACCCAAAGUAAGACUAAACCGAUAACGAUACAAAUCCAAGUUGCAGUCCAGUCGGACUCUGGGCUGCAAUCGGAACUAUGCGUCAGCGGAAGCAUCCUGCAAAAGACCAACACCACAGGCAACGUUGGGUGCGGACGCGACCUCCUACUCGGCGACGUAGUCUGGGUCCUCCUCUAAAGCAACAAAACAGGGGUGAGUACAAAAAUACUUAACAAGUCCAACCCCAUCCACAGAGGGGGAUACAACAGGAGUAUGCACAGGAUACAACAAGGAUGAGGUUAAGCUUCUUUUGCAAUAAAGCUAGAUUUUCCACACAUGCAAUUGUUCAUUUUCAAAGAGUUUUUUCAAAGUAUUUUCUUUAGUAAUUGAAACAUUGAGUGGGGUUGAUCCUACACAAAGGAUCCAAGUUUUAUCGCUACCGGACUCCCCGUCCGCCAUAGCCCACGGCACAACAGCCGGACACUUCCAAAAUUCAACGCACGCCAUAAAAACCAUCCCUCUCCAAAUGCUAGUUAUUUGACCAAGCCGUAACUCGUACAAUACCGUGGACACGACUACCCGGAUAGGUUUUAACUCUGUAGAGGUUGUACACUUUUCCCACAAGUAGGGUACCAUAGCAUGAUCACCUUAGUGCCGGUGCGGAUCCUAACAAAGCCAUUACCCACCUUAGCCAAGACUGACUAGUCAACACGAAAGCACUCAAGGGGUUAACGACCUACCAUCGAGGUCUUAACCAGGACCUAAGUUACAAAGAGCUUACUCCUUUUUCUUGGGCUCCCGUUGCUCACCAGCUCACCCGAAGACUAACAGUUUAGCUAGUGGGAUUUAUGCUAAGACGUCACCCAUACAACGGUCGAGUGGUUGCACGAUGGUUGAAUUAGGAAAGAUGACACAUCAACUCGGUCCUUAACUAUCAUAAGAUGGAUAUCUCCCAACCUUGCUCAACCACUAAGGUACGAGCCCAACAUUCUGGCAUUUCAUACAAGAAACACCCAUCCAUCUCAUCUACACAUUUCUUGCCUUUGAACCCGGAAACCCAUCUUCUCAUUUGAAAACACUCAUGCAUUUAGUUUCUAAAUAAACCAUUGUAGUCGUGAUUGAAUUUGAGUAACGAGUUCCUAAGCAUUCUAGCAGUAAUUAUCAUCUAAAUAGAGCAAGUCAUAUUUAGAGACAAAUAUAGGACAACAAGGAAUAAUCAUAACAAUUAAGGGGUGGCUAUCCAACCAUGUCUUGCAAUAAAAAUAAUAUGCACUUUUAUAAAACAGGCCGAUAGGUUGUGUUUGAAAAACUAGGAAUAAAUAUGCAUCAAAGGGUGAGAUUGAACUUGCCGUUCUCAAAGCCUUCAGGGGGCUCCUGCUCGCGGUACUGGUUCUCGGGCUCGAGCUCGUGGUCGAACUCCUCCUUGGGUACUCCACGAUCUAUGGCACACACAAAUGAGCACACAAUAAAUAAAAAGAAAAUAAGAUUUUAUCCGUUGAGCUCCGAACAGAGAAUGCGAACGGAAAAUAGGUGGGGUGAGUAUUUUCAUGAAAUUUGGAUAUGCCUCGGCGGAAGUAUAUGGGAGGAGGCUGUGGUCGAAUUUGGGAUCAAUUGGAGGAAGUUUGGCGCAUGAACUGACGAGUUAAAGGAGUGUUAGGGCUUAAAACAAGGUUUUAGGACUACACUGCGAGAACCAGGGACCUAUUUGUAAUUAUUUCUGAAAGGUGGAAGGGCGUAUUCGUGAAACUUCUCUGAGAGAGGUGGGAGGGCUGGUUUGCAAUUAGAGGAAAGGAGCGGGGUAGAUCAAAAUUGAAGGGGAUUUUCCCCUUCUUCUUCCAUGGACCGUUACCUGAGAUGGAGGAGGGGGAGGAACUCGGUGGGGGGGUCGGCCGGCCGGGCCUCGCGGUGGCGGGCCGUGUGGUGGGGGAGGUAGAGGGGGAUGAGGGGGUUCCAUUUGAGGCAUCACCUCGGGCGGAUGGUGGCCGGAGCUAGGGGGCCGGCGGCGGGCAAGGAGGCGGCGGGUGGACCUCCUAGCGGCGGCGCGUGGGGCGGCGGGGAAAGGGGACGGCGAGCAGAAGGGAGAGGUCGAGGUGGUGGUGAGGGGCGGCUGGGCCUUGGCCCUUUUAUAGGCGACAGGAGGGGGCGGGCAGAGGCCAGAGGCGAUGAUGGCGGCUGAGACUUCCGGCCGGUGGCGUGUCGGAGUGGAUGUGCUCGUGGAUAGCGUGGUGGCUCAGUCGACGAGGAGGCACAGGGAGCAACGACUGUGUGGGGAGGCACGCCAGGUAGGGGUGGGCGGAGGCUGGACGGCGGGCGGUCCGACGUGUCCGGUGGCGCGCGGCGCGGCACGCGCGGCCUGGGCACGCGCACGGGCGGGCGCGGCGCGGGGCCAGGCGCGGGCGGCGCGGGGCCAGGCGUGGGCGGCGCGGGGCCAAGCGGGCGGGGCCGAGCGGGCGGGUGGGAGGUGAUAGGUGGAUGGCUCCAGGCGGGCGGUGUCGGGCGCCAAGCGUUAGGGGGAGUAGCUCCAGGAAGAAAAGAAGGAGGGAGAAGAAAGGAGGAAGAAGGAGGAGAGAAGAAAGAAGGAAGAAGGAGAAAGGAAAAGAAGAAAAAGAAAAAGGGGAAAAAGGAGAAAGAAAAAGAAAAGGGAGGGGAAAAUGGCGAAAGUUGCGGAAUUGACUGGCACGCUUGAUGGAUUUGACGGGCACGCGGCAAAAAUUGCGGGGAACGAAAAAAGAUGAUGUCGCGCUAGGUGACGGGAAGACGGGGUCACCAGGGAGGAAAAGAUUUCUCGGGAGCUCAAUGGUCGGAAAAAUUUUGAAAUAAAUUUUUAGCGAGUGAUUUGAGUUAGUAAUUUUUUGGAGCAUUACAAACCUACCCCACUUGAAUUGAAUCUCAUCCUUGAGAUUCGGCUGAAUUCUGAAAGGAUGGGGAAACUCCUUUAAUGCAUCCUCACGUUCCCAAGUAGCUUCUUCUUCACCAUGCCUACUCCAUUGGACUCUGCAAAUCCGUACCACAUAAUUCCUUGUACUUCUGGUGACAGUGUCUAGAAUCUUGACAUGUACCUCCUGAUACCGCAGAUCCUUUUGCAAAUCUAUGGUUUCCAUCGGUACUUGUUCUUCCGGUACCAUCAAGCAUUUCCUUAGCUGGGAAACAUGGAACACUGGGUGUAUAUCCGACAUUUCUUCGGGCAGCUGAAUACAGUAUGCUACAGCUCCAACUCUUUUUAGUACCUGGUACGGUCCAAUAUACCGAGGGGCUAAUUUUCCUUGCACUUGGAACCUUCGGGUACCUCGAAUCGAGGAGACCUUGAGGUAGACGAAGUCUCCUUCAUUGAAAAUCAACUCUCGUCUUCUUUUCUCUGAGUAAUUCUUCUGCCUAGACUGUGCUGCCUUUAGCUUCUCUCGAACUUCGGCUACUCAAUCUUCUGCUUCUUUGAUAAAGGCGGGUCCCACUAGAGUGCGCUCUCCCACUUCCAACCACAUCAACGGGGUCCUGCACUUUCUUCCGUAGAGAGCCUCAAAUGGUGACAUGCCUAAGCUGGCUUGGUAACUGUUGUUAUAUGCGAACUCUGCAUAGGGUAAACUUUGUUCCCAGUCCUUGCCAUAAGUAAGGACACAUGCCCUUAACACAUCCUCCAUAAUUUGAUUCACUCUUUCUGUUUGGCCAUCGGUCUGGGAGUGAUAGGCUGAACUGAAAUCCAGUUUGGUGCCCAUGGCUUUAUGUAGACUUCUCCAGAAUCUAGAGGUAAAUUGGGUCCCUCUAUCCGAAACAAUUCUGCUAGGCACACCAUGCAGCUUCACUAUGUUGUCCACAUAGAGUCGAGCUAGCCUUUCUCCACCAUAAGUGGUCCGUACAGGUAGGUAGUGAGAAACUUUAGUGAGUCGAUCCACUAUUACCCAUAUGGAGACAUUUCCUUUCUGAGUCUUGGGUAAACCCACUACAAAAUCUAUGCCAAUCUCGUCCCAUUUCAAAACUGGGAUGGGUAGUGGUUGUAGUAAGCCUGCUGGCUUCUGGUGUUCAGCCUUAACCUUUUGGCAAAUAUCGCAAUGGGCGAUGAACUGGGCUAUGUCCGCUUUCAUCCCAUUCCACCAGUACUUCUGUUUUAAGUCCAUAUACAUCUUGGUGGAUCCCGGAUGGAUGGAGUAUGCCGAGUUAUGGGCCUCAUCCAUGAUGGUCUACCAGAAAUCACCUUCCUUGGGUACGCAAAUCCUAUCCUUGUACCAUAAGGUCCCUUUGUCAUCCACUCAAAAAUCUGGGGCUUUAUUUUCUCCGGUUUGCUUGCGAAUCCUUACCAAGUCCUGAUUUGAACCUUGGGCUUCUUGGAUUCUAUCCUCCAAAGUGGGCUGAACACUUAGCUUGCGGCUGGUAUUCUGAGGAAUAAUGUGCACAUUUAACCAAGCCAUUUCCUCUUGCAAACGGGUAUCCUGGGGUCCGAUCUGUCCAUUGGAUUUUCUGCUUAAGGCAUCAGCUACCACAUUAGCCUUACCGGGUUGGUAGUGGAUUUCCAGAUUAUAAUCCUUGACCAACUCUAACCACCUUCUUUGUCUUAAAUUCAGAUCUGGUUGGGUGAAGAUAUACUUUAGACUCUUGUGGUCCGUGUAAAUCUCACACUUGCUCCCAAUUAGAUAGUGCCUCCAAAUCUUGAGAGCAUGCACUACAGCGGCAAAUUCCAAAUCAUGGGUUGGGUAAUUCUUUUCAUGAGGCUUAAGCUGGCGGGAAGCAUAUGCCACUACCUUCCCAUCCUGCAUAAGGACACACCCCAACCCUUGUCGGGAAGCAUCACAAUAAAUGAUGAAGUCCCGCUGAAUGUCCGGUAGGGUUAAUACUGGGGCGGUCUUCAAUCUUUUCUUCAGUUCUUGAAAACUCCUCUCACAUGACUCUGUCCACAUAAACUUCUUAUCCUUCCUAAGUAGUUCCAUCAUGGGCCGAGCUAUCUUAGAGAAUCCUUCAAUAAACCUCCGAUAGUACCCAACUAGACCGAGAAAGCUCCUGAUUUCACUAACAUUGGUGGGUUGCUGCCAGUUGGAGAUGGCUUCAACUUUCUCAGGAUCAACUGCUACUCCUUCUGCGGUCAAAAUAUGACCGAGAAAUGCCACUUUCUCGAGCCAAAAUUCACAUUUGCUGAAUUUAGCAUAGAGUCGGUGGGCUCUCUAUUUUUCUAACACCACCCGUACAUGUUGUUCAUGUUCUUGGACACUCUUGGAGUAAAUAAGUAUGUCGUCAAUAAAGACCACGACAAACUUAUCUAACUCCUCCAUAAACACCUUGUUCAUGAGAUUCAUGAAGUAAGCAGGUGCAUUGGUUAGUUCAAAAGACAUCACUGUGAACUCAAAUUGUCAAUAGCGGGUGACAAAGGCCGUCUUCGGAAUGUCACUUUCCUUAAUCUUGAGCUGAGAUACCCAAACCUCAAAUCUAUCUUGGAGAAAUACUUGGCUCCCUUCAGCUAAUCAAACAAAUCAUCUAUUCUGGGGAGGGGGUAUUUAUUCUUGAUAGUGACUUCGUUCAGUGCGCGAUAAUCCACGGACAUCCUCAUGCUCCCAUCUUUCUUCUUGACAAAGAGCACUGGGGCUCCCCACGGGGAUGAGCUAGAUAUGAUAAAGCCACUCUGUUACAGUUCACCUAACUAUUUCUUUAGCUCUGCCAGCUCAGAUGCUGCCAUUCUAUAGGGUCUCUUGGCUAUAGGGGAGGUCCAGGAAUAAGGUCGAUUACAAACUCUAUAUCCCUGUCCGGGGGUAUUUCAGGUAGUUCUUCAGGAAAGACAUCAGGGUAUUCACUCACUACCGCAACUCCUUCUAUGGCCUUGGCCUCCAGGCUAAAAACCAUUGGGUCGGGUCCACUCCCCCGAGUGUGACAAGUCACUUGCACACCGUCCAGAUUGACCAGGCGUACUACCUUAUCUGCACACCCUAUGUGACCAUCAUGUAGGCUUAACCAAUCCAUUCCAAGGAUCACAUCUAUUCCCUUAGACUCAAGUACUACUAAGUCUGCUAAAAAUUUCACCCCACUUAAAUUGAUCCUUACCUGGGAACAACCUAGUCGACACUGGAUGUUGGCUCCAGGUGUCCGGGUUAAUAGGGGUAAAUUUAGUAGUACUGUAGGUAUGUGGUGCUUAUCCACAAAGCCUGAUGAUAUAAAUGAAUGCGAUGGUCCAGAAUCGAAGAGUAUUGUUGCCAAGACUGAGCUGACUAGAAACUCACCGAGUACCACGCCCUGAGCUUCUCGAGCCUCUUGUGCGCUGAUGUGGUUGACGCGGGCUCGUCCAAAUGACUUCUGGGGCGGCCUCAUCUGCUGGCUAUUGUUGUUGCCAUGGUUGUUGUUGCUACGGACUAGGACACAGUUAGCCCCUGACACUGCUGCCCUCGGCCCAAUUACUGCGUUGGAGAAGGCUGAUGCGGCUGGCUUGUUGGCGUAUGGGCAGUUGGCGAUGAAAUGCCCUGGCUCAUGGCAGUUGAAGCAUGCCCUGCUGUUGUUGGUGACUUGACUGGUACUGUUCUGUGGGGUCUUGAUGGGGUUCUGGCUCCUGAAUGGGGUGUUGGGCUGAUGAGAACCGGAGGCUUGAGACUGGGUCCGGUACUGCAUAGGAGCUUGGGACCUGGGCAGUGGGUGACCAAAGCUCCUCGGUUUCUAGAACCUGUCCUGCUGGUGAGCCUUGCUUUCCAGGAACCGACGCUUGUUGUCCCUCCGCUCAUCUGCUUUGGCUCUCUCAGUCAGGAUGGCCAUGUUCAUCAGAGUGUUGAAGUCGGGUAGAUCUGAGGAGUAAGCAGGGUCCUUAGUUCUGCACUCAAACCUUUCUUGAACAUGUCCUGCUUCUUUUCAUCUUUGUCCACUUCUUCUGGGGCAUAGCGGGCCAGCUCCAUGAACUGAUAGGUGUACUCUUCCACAGACUUGUUGCCUUGGCGCAGUUCACGGAACUCAUCCUCCUUGCGCUUCAUGGUGGCCACAGGAAUGUGAUAGCAGCGGAACUCUGUCACGAACUCAUCCCAGGUGAUAGUGGAGACAUUCUAGGUGGCGGUGCAGUAGUUCUCCCACCAAGCUAGAGCAGUCCCAGUGAGUUGGUGGGCAGCCAGGAGAACCUUGUCCCUACUCUCACAACCAAACAGCUCUAGCUUCCUCUGGAUGACCCGCAACCAGUCAUCUGCGUCCAGAGGGUUGACAGACCCACCAAAAGUGGGUGGCUUGGUCUGGAGGAAGUCCGUCAACUUCUCAUUCAUGCUCUGUCCGUGGGGCCUUUGGCGAGUGAUGGCAUUGGCCAAGGCUUCCAGCAGAAGGGUCUGGUUGUUCAUCACUUGCACCAGAUCAAUGACCAGUGGGCACGGUGGCUGCUGUGCUCCCACUUGGGUUUCUCCCCUGCCCUCGGGCUGAUUUACUUCACUCUUCCUCAUGGUCCACCGCAGGUGGUGGUUCUUGCCCUUCCUGCUACCUUUUUGCACUAGGGGUGGCAUGGGCUUGAAUCGAGGAGGUCCUGGUAGCAUGCUUAGGAGGUAUCUGCAGAUUGAGUGAACUUUCAUGAGACUUGGAUUUGGAUUUUAAAGUGAUGUUUAGUUAAUUAGCUCGGGUUUUUGAAAAGACAGAAUCCACCUCCAGUCGACAAGCACACAGACUAACAAACAACAAACACAAAUGAUUUUAUUAUUUUGCCGGGGCCGUUAUAACACUUGGGGUGAGGCCAAAACACACACUACACGGCCGGUACAACAACACAACUGGGGUACAAUUCUAGACUCGGGACGACUUCUUGGGUACAACUCUAGGUGGGGCAUUCUACUCGCGGGACAAAUCUUCACCCUAAACAGAGUGGUCUUCUGGUGGAAUAAGGAGGGUCAGCACCUCAUCCUUUAGGGUCCCACCUACUAGAGGGGGCUCCGACGCUGCUCCAUUCGCCACCUCAGAGUCUUUUUCUAAAGGAGGCAGUGCUGGUGGGGCAUCAGGGCUCUUCCACUUGCCGGACCCGUGGGCAACAGGGACUCCAUCCAAGAUCGAGGCCUCGUCAUCCUCCACGACCCGCAUCUUCCUUCUUGCGUGGUUCGUGUGAUGGGCCUCCUUCAGUGCCCGAGAGUGCUGAUCCUCGGCCUCCUUGAGGGCCUCAAUGGCGACGGCCUUGUUGCUUUGGGCGGCCGCGGCUCAUGCCUCAGCUGCUACCAACCUCACCUGGAGUCUCGUUACCAUAAGCUCUGUGUCCUCGGCUCCACGAAUCUGCUGCUUCAGAUGUGCGGUCUGCUCAUUGUAGAGCUCAUCCAAGGUGAGAGGGUAGGCAGCCAUGUGGAGCACGGUGGGGUCAUCCUCGCGUUGUCCACGUCCUUCCAAAGUCCUCACCGGGGUCAGCCAAACCGGGCGGUUCUUCUUGACAGGCGGGUAAAACCUCAUCGAUGUGCGGCCGAUGUGCCUCUCAUAGAUCUGGCACAGGUAGCGCAGAGCCUUCCGAGCUGCCACCUGGUAAGUGUCUUUCCGCCAGAAACCAGUGGCAGACACGUUCCAUGGCUGAAUGUCGGGGUAACGACUGCUCCUGCCGACGUAGAUGGUCAUCUCACAUCGGAGGGUCCCACGGUCUUCAUACUCCUGGCUAGUGUACUCCGGGCGCUCAUAAAUCCCGAGGCGGUGCAGGCAGGCGAACAGCAACCUGGGAAAACCGGGCUCCACCAGGCAAUGGUUGUUGACCCACCCCUCUUUUUUCAUCUGGAAAGAAUCGAGGUGUAAAUCAGUUUUGCAAUUGAGUAGAGGAAGCAAGAAAUUUUGUAAAAUCAUUUAUUUUUGGUCAAAAAGGCUUUUUUGAUCCUAAUGGUCACGUCCUACGGCGAACGAUGGCUCUGAUACCACCUGAAGCGUCCCCACAUAAGUAGAGACUAAAUGUGAUACAAAUAUCAGUCCUAUGAGGCUUAUAGCACAUAUAUUCAACAAAUAGUUCAGAAAUCGUACAACUCCCGAGGGAGCGGGCGGGCAAGCCACACCCAAAGUAAGACUAAACCAAUAACGAUACAAAUCCAAGUUGCAGUCCAGUCGGACUCUGGGCUGCAAUCGGAACUAUGCGUCAGCGGAAGCAUCCUGCAAAAGACCAACACCACAGGCAACGUUGGGUGUGGACGCGACCUCCUACUCGGCGACGUAGUCCGGGUCCUCCUCUGAAGCAACAAAACAGGGGUGAGUACGAAAAUACUCAACAAGUCCAACCCCAUCCACGGAGGAGGAUACAAUAGGAGUAUGCACAGGAUACAACAAGGAUGAGGUUAAGGUUCUUUUGCAUAAAGCUAGAUUUUCCACACAUGCAAUUGUUCAUUUUCAAAGAGUUUUUGCAAAGUAUUUUCUUUAGUAAUCAAAACAUUGAGUGAGGUUGAUCCUACACAAAGGAUCCAAGUUUUAUCGCUACCGGACUCCCCGUCCACCAUAGCUCACGGUACAACUGCCGGACACUUCUAAAAUUCAACGCACGCCAUAAAAACCAUCCCUCUCCAAAUGCUAGUUAUUUGACCAAGCCGUAACUCGUACAAUGCCGUGGACCCGGCUACCCGGAUAGGUUUUAACUAUGUAGAGAUUGUACACUUUUCCCCCAAGUAGGGUACCAUAGCACGAUCACCUUAGUGCCGGUGCGGAUCCUAACAAAGCUAUUACCCACCUUAGCCAAGACUGACUAGUCAACACGAAAGCACCCAAGGGGUUAACGACCUACCAUCGAGGUCUUAACCAGGACCUAAGUUACAAAGAGCUUACUCCUUUUCCUUGGGCUCCCGUUGCUCACCAGCUCACUCGAAGACUAACAGUUUAGCUAGUGGGAUUUAUGCUAAGCCGUCGCCCAUACAACGGUCGAGUGGUUGCACGAUGGUUGAAUUAGGAAAGAUGACACAUCAACUUGGUCCUUAACUAUGACAAGAUGGAUAUCUCCCAACCUUGCUCAACCACUAAGGUACGAGCCCAACAUUCUGGCAUUUCACCCAAGAAACACCCAUCCAUCUCAUCUACACAUUUCUUGCCUUUGAACCCGGAAACCCAUCUUCUCAUUUGAAAACACUGACGCAUUUAGUUUCUAAAUAAACCAUUGUAGUUGUGAUUGAAUUUGAGUAACGAGUUCCUAAGCAUUCUAGCAGUAAUUAUCAUCUAAAUAGAGCAAGUCAUAUUUAGAGACAAAUAUAGGACAACAAGGAAUAAUCAUAACAAUCAAGGGGUGGCUAUCCAACCAUGUCUUGCAAUAAAAAUAAUAUGCACUUUUAUAAAACAAGCCGAUAUGUUGUGUUUGAAAAACUAGGAAUAAAUAUGCAUCAAAGGGUGAGAUUGGACUUGCCGUUCUCAAAGCCUUCAGGGGGCUCCUGCUCACGGUACUAGUCCUCGGGCUUGGGCUCGCGGUCGAACUCCUCCUCGGGUACUCCGCGAUCUACGGCACACACAAACGAGCACACAAUAAAUAAAAAGAAAAUAAGAUUUUACCCAUUGAGCUCCGAACAAAGAAUGCGAACGGAAAAUAGGUGGGGUGAGUAUUUUUAUGAAAUUUGGAUAUGCCUCGGCGGAAGUAUAUGGAAGGAGGCCGUGGUCGAAUUUGGGAUCAAUUGGAGGAAGUUUGGUGCAUGAAAUGCCGAUUUAAAGGGGUGUUAGGGCUUAAAACAAGGUUUUAGGACUAAAAUGCGAGAACCGGAGACCUAUUUAUAAUUAUUUUGAAAGGUGGAGGGCGUAUUCACGAAACUUCUCUGAGAGAGGUGGGAGGGCUGGUUUGCAAUUAGAGGAAAGGAGGGGGGUAGAUCGAAAUUGAAGGGGAUUUUUCCCCUUCUUCUUCCUUGGACCGUUACAGGAGAUAGAGGAGGGGGAGGAACUCAGUGGGGGGGCCGACCGGCCGGGCCUCGCCAGCGGCGGGCCGUGUGGUGGGGGAGGUAGAGGGGGACGAGGGGGUUCCAUUUGAGGCGUCACCUCGGGCAGAUGGUGGCCGGAGCUAGGGGGCUAGCAGCGAGCAAGGAGGCAGCAGGUGGAGCUCCUGGUGGCGGUGCGUGGGGCGGCGGGGAAAGGGGGCGGCGAGCACGGGGGCGAGGGUGAGUUGGUGGUGAGGGGGCCUUUUAUAGGCGAUGGGAGGGGGCGGGCGAAGGCCGGAGGCAAUGAAGGUGGCCGGGACUGUCGGCCGGUGGUGUGCCGGAGUGGAUGUGCUCGUGGAUGGCGUGGUGGCUCGGUCGACGAGGAGGCACAGGGAGCGACGGCCGCAUGGGGAGGCGCGCUAGGAGGGGGCGGGCGGAGGCCGAACGACGGGUGGUCCGGCGCGGCUGGCGGCGCGCGGCGUGGCACGCGCGGCCCGGGCGCACGCACAGGCGGGUGCGGCACAGGGCCAAGCGUGCGGGGCCGAGCGGGCGCAGGCGCGCGGGCAGGUGGGCGGCGACAGGCGGAUGACGCUAGGCGGGUGGCGUCGGGCGCCAGGCGCAGGGGGAGUAGUGCCAGGAAGAAAAGAAGGAGAGAGAAGAAAGGAGGAAGGAGGAGAGAAGAAAGAAGGAAGAAAGAGAAAGGAAAAGAAGAAAAAGAAAAAGGGGGAAAAAGGAGAAAGAAAAAGAAAAGGGAGGGGAAAACGGCGAAAGUUGCGGAAUUGACCGGCACGCUUGAUGGAUUUGACGGGCACGCGGCGAAAAUUGCGGGGAACGGAAAAAGAUGAUGUCGCGCUGGGUGACGGGACGGCGGGGUCGCCGGGGAGGAAAAGAUUUCUCGGGAGCUCAACGGUCGGAAAAAUUUUGAAAUAAACUUUUAGCGAGUGAUUUGAGUUGGUAAAUUUUUCGAGCGUUACAUGAAGUGAGUGUCAAAGGACGCUAUGGUGAUAACUUGGAUGGUUUGUAUGUUGGAAAGCUCAAGGCAAAGAUAUAGGGUUUUCUAUUUUACCGGUCAAGAGGUGCUUAGCAGAUGUAAAUUGACCAGAUUAAUAGGCUAGAUAGCCGUACUAUCAAGAGGGGUCAAUUUCAUUUAUUUGAUGGUUCUAUAGUGCCACUUUGCUCAAACAAUUGUAUUGCAUGCAUAUGGACUAACAUAGUUUGAGAAAGUAAAAAAACUGAGAAGAAAAACAUGUUCUAAAAGAGUGCUAACUGAAUAAAGUGGAUGGUCCGGCCCUAUAUGGGCGGAUGGUCAGCCUAACUUAGACAGAAACGUGUGUUCAGGGUUAGAGGCUAUUUUUGUGAGGUGGGCGGUCCAGCCCUAUAUGGGCGGACGGUCCGCCCCCUGUAAUGAUAUAGUCUGAUACGCAUUAAACGCUGAAGUAGCCGUUGGACUUGAACGGUUGGACCGUCCGCACCCUGUAACGGUAUAGUCUGACAUGCAUUAAAUGCUGAAGCAGCCGUUGGACUUGAACGGCGGAUGGUCCAUCCCCUGUGAGGUGGAUGGUCCGCCAGUUGCCUAUUUUCACGAGUUUUGAACCUAACGGCUAGCUUUUGAAAGAGGGCCUAUAUAUACUCCACCCCCGUGCAUGAGUGAGGUCUUUUGGCACUUUGGAAAGCAUUUGUGACAUCCUUAAGCCCUCUUCCACCUCUCACUCAGAUUGCAUUCUUGUGAGAUUGAGAGCAUCCUAGUGCAUUGCAUCAAGAGUUGGAGCUUUGUGGCACUAGGGAGUCUUCAAGCAAGUGUUAUUGACUUAUUACUCUUGGAGGUUGCCGCCUCCUAGACUUCUUGGAGAUUGUGGAGUUGUUGAGCCCUUCAAGAAAUAUUGUGAAGGAGCCCCGGCUAUUCUUUGUGAGAGGUUUGUGCUUAUCUCGCCGGAGCGGUGAAGAGCAAUACUAGUUGAAUCGAGGUUUGAAGAGAUCCUUUGAUUCAAGCUGGCUCAAACAUCAAGCGGUGCCUUGAUAGAGGAGCGGUUGAAGCAUUGAAUCCACCUCAAUGUGGAUUAGGGGUGACUGGCAAGUCAUCGAUACCACGGGAAAAUUUCGUCUCUUGUGUUCGGUUCUUUGUUCGCUCAAUUUCAUUAUUGCAAUUUACUUUGAGCAAUUACAUUCUUAGAGAUUGAAUUAUUCCUUAUCACCCUAGGUUGCAAACCCUCACAUAGUUGUAAAGUAGCUAGAAAUAGUUUUCAUCUUGUGUUACUAAUUAAAUUUAUUUAGUGUUGUGACUUUAGUUUAAACCGCCUAUUCACCCUCCUCUAGUCGGUAUCCUAGAUCCUACAGAAGGAGGUGGGGACAAUGACAGUUUCUUCUUUCAGGUGGGUGUUCAGCUCGCUUAUUUCCAUGGGAGCAACGGCGUGUGACAGCCGCGGCGGCGGAAAGGGUGGCGGCGGCGGAGGUGACGGAGGCGGAGGCGGUAGAGGUGGCGGUGGAGGCAGUGGAGGCGGUGGCGAUGGGGACGACGGUGGUGUUUGAGCACGAUGUCCGGGAGCCCUGCACUCCCUCACACGGUGCCCCGAGCGGUGGCAAUGAAGAUAGCGGACAGGGUCCCGGCAGGAGGCGACACGGUGGACCCUUGCAAGACACCUGAAGCAACGUCCCUCGGUGGCCCGGUGGAAUGCUUGGCGAGCGCCAGUGGUUGGCCUCCUUGAAUCGGCCUCUCCACGGAGCUUUGAAAGCACAUCGCAUCGACCGUCGCGCCGCGGCAAGGUGGCACGCUCGCGCCAAGCCUUGGAGCCACAGCACCGUGCUGGAGUCCACCCAUCAUCCUGCACAAGCUUGCCAUCACGUCGCGGUGGGCUGGCACCUCUACUCUGUGUUGAAUGGCCACAACGUGUGUUGAAUGGCCACGGCGCCGUGCAGGGGGUCCCCUAUCGACUAGCGUGGGCGUGGUACGGCGGAUCCACUCCCUGGGGCACCUCAUCCUUGUCGGAUCGAUAGAGUAAAUGUGCUCCCUUAUGGGGGGGGUGGGGAUUGAAUGCUGUGGGGAGAGGCUGCUGCGUAGGUUGGUGGGGAGGAGUGAAGGCACCGCGCUGGACGACUUCCGCAUAGGAAGGAACUGUAUCAGGCGUUGCAGGGGUGCAGGGGUUGGAUCUGGUGUUGCAAGGACCUAGUCAAUAUCGUCGUGUCAUGGCCGGCCAUGGCGUGGGGACGGUGAAGGUGUGUCAAGGAAGAAGUUUUCCCAGGCGCUUGCGCUCUUCCUUGGGGUGGAGGAAGUCGUCGGGGAGGGGAUCUAGGUAGUGUGGAUCUAAGCGGGUGGGUGGCGGCGGAGGAGGCGAGGGGAGGUGGCCGGAUAUGGAUCCACCGGUGGAUGGCCACGCGGUAGAGGGUAGGAUUGGGAGGUCUAUCUUUUUGAUAAGUGGUUAAUCGAUCACCAGAAGAUCUUCCCAAAACUUCCUAAGAAGAUAUUUUUUUAUUUGAUUUAGCAUUAUUCAACAAGAAAAAAAAUAAAAUUUUUGACAAAUUCUUUUUUUUGAUAAUUAUGCGGCGGACGGACACUAAGAUGGAAUAGGCCCGCUAAUAUGCCUAAUGUACCCGCAACAAUAUGAUGCAAAGCUAUUCCUCCCGGAAUGAGAGGAUCAAAACCUGCUGCACCCCACGCAGGAGAUUGUAAAUUUUGAAACUUUAGUAUUUCUUUUUCUUCCGUACAAGAUAGUUGCCCUAGCAAAAGUGUUAGGCACCCUUCAAAUAAGAAUCCAUUUUCUAACUGGCUUUCGUGCUUUGGUGAGUCGUCCAAGAUCCUUUCGGUGACAUAGUACGAAUUAACCCUUUGUUCUUUUUUUCUUUUUAAGUAUACCCUUCCCCGGGAAAGAACAAUAGGACAAAAGAUAUGGAAUGCAAUAGAAAAUAGGAUAAAAGAUAUGGAAUGCAAUAGAAAAAAGGAUCCUAGCUUUCGUCUCUCAGUGUCAGUGUCGGCCCAGCAGAGUGCUUUCGCCGUUGGUGUUCUUUCCGAUCUCAAUGGACUACUUAACUGGAGGAUUCACUGCAAAUAUUAGCUUGUCUCAUUAUUGCCGCGACAACGGCCUACUUACUCACAUUCACCGAGCAAUGCAUGCAAUUAUUGAUACACAAAAAAAAUCAUGGUAUGCAUUUCCGUGUAUUAGCUAAAGUAGGAAGGACAGGUUGUUCCAGCUAGAUACCGUCAAAAAUUCCUGUGGGGGCAUCUUACUUGACCUGAUCCAUGUCGUGUUACGCGGCUCCUAAGAAAAUUCCCGUAACUCUACCUACGUCGGAUCCCGCUUCCGUUUUCCCCAUCUAUUGAUGGGUUGUUAACGAGUGUUUCCCCCAAAUGGUUUCACCGGUAAUAAAAGGUCAGGUAAUAAAAGGUAAAAAAAACCAAGUUCACCUCACUUUCAAUUUAUUUUUCACUCUGUUUGCAAAACGUGCAAACAGAGAAGUUUCCUUAGUUUAUGAAAAGUAGGUAAAGCGGAACUGUGGAAGUCGGUAAAAACCCUCUCAAAUAGGCUUUUUGGUUCACAUAUCAUAAUCGCAUUUCUUUAUCCUAGUUAUGACUUUGAUAUUUUUCGAGAUUUUAUAGCAUGUUAAUUUAUACUUAUUGCAGAUGGCCUUUCUACGUAAAGGAGAUAUGCAAUAGCCCCUAUGUGAGAUUUUGGUAAUCUUUAUCAAAAUUAAAUCAAUUUCCUUGUAAUUAGUCCAAUAAAGUAUUAUAAAUAUCAGGAUUUCUUUAAAAAAGAACAUAGGAUACCAUGAACCAAUGCUUGAAACUUUGGUCAUAAAACUAACCUAAAAUUUGAGAAUGUCAUGUUCUUUUUUUUUCUGAAACUGAGAAUGUCAAUUCUUAGCGUCAUUACAUUUGAAAAAUCUAAGGUCGGCUUGUCACACGUCAGGCCAACGAAGAGGUUGUUUUCUCCAGCUGCAAUUGGCCCAAGUAACUGCGUACAGGCCCACCAAAUCAACUACAGUUGGGCCGAACCGGUAGCAAAAAUCGAAACGGACAAGUUUCCAAAGAAAAAGGAAACCGUGUGCGUACAACUAACGCGUACGCGUAUGCGUAUGGGUACAGGCCAUAUACAGCUUUCGAUCCCCCGCGUACGGAAUACGCUCUCGCUCCCCUGUCUUUCUCGCCAGAUCAGAUCGGAAAUUCCAAAGCAAGCUUUUCGUCAGCGAUUCGCCGAGACCCAUCCAACGCCGCCGCCAUGUCCGCCGCCGUCGCCGCCCCCGUCCUGCGCGAGGACGACCGGGGGAUCCCACGAUCCCUCCCCCUCCUCGCGGCGCUCGUAGAGGCGGAGUCCCGCCGUUUCGCCGCCGCCGCCUCCCGUCCCGCCGAGACCGGCCUCGUCCGCGCCUUCCGCGGCGGCGCCGCCCCGAAGGUCCCGAUCCGCAUCUUCAUGGAGCGGAUCCACCUGCUGACCCGGUCGGUGCCGACCUCCCGGGGCAUGACCAGGAUCGACGGCACCAGCUUCGUGCUCGCCGGGAUCUACUUGACUCGCUUCAUCCGCAGCCCCGCCGGCAGGGAGGCGGGGAUCCUGGUGGAGCCAGCCACCGCGCACCGCCUGGUUGCCGUCGCGCUCUUCCUUGGCGCCAAGUUCGGCGGCCACCCGCCCAGGAAGUGGAUUGGGGUGUUCCAGGCCAGCUCGGAAGGCGCGAUCCGUGCCGGCGAGAUGGUGGGCCUCGAGGGCCGCUUCCUGCCUGCAAUCGACUUUCGCCUGUUCGUAGAGACCUGGGAGUUCGAUUCCUUCUGCCUUGUGCUGGAGCGGGGGCCUCGGGCACCAAGGGGCGGCAGCGGUAGCGUUGGCUGCGCCAGCAAGAAGAGGCAGGCGGACGCCACGGUCGGAGAGGAUGAGCGCCGCCGCGUCCGAGCUCGCCUGCCGCCACCUGCCGUCUUCUCCAAUUAGGAUUUGUUUUCAAUUUGAAGUUUCGCCUUCAAUUCGCUUAUUAUUUCUUUUAGUUGCUUUUGAUUGUUCGUCUAUCUAUUUUUGCUGCAGGUACAAGGCUAGGAGUAGAAGUGUUCGAGGUGGAGAAGGCGUUGUCCAGUGUCCGAUCAGGGAUCAGCUUCUCCUUGCUGGAGCCUGGAGGAGAGCCUGGUGUAGGAUGCGUCGUCCCGCUUCGGAUCAUGGAUGACCUCCUGCUCGUCGCCAGAGCCUGGAGGGUAGUCAACAGAUCUUAGUUUUAGCCAAGGUUGUUAAAGCGAUUGCUGGCUCACUGAAAGAGUUCUCUAGUACUGGGUUUUCCAGCUUUGGAGUCAAUAAAAAGGGCACAAUAUGGUGU